GACGUAGGGCGCGAGCGUUGUCCGGAAUUAUUGGGCGUAAAGAGCUUGUAGGCGGUUUGUCGCGUCUGCUGUGAAAAUCCGGGGCUCAACCCCGGACUUGCAGUGGGUACGGGCAGACUGGAGUGUGGUAGGGGAGACUGGAAUUCCUGGUGUAGCGGUGGAAUGCGCAGAUAUCAGGAGGAACACCGAUGGCGAAGGCAGGUCUCUGGGCCACUACUGACGCUGAGAAGCGAAAGCAUGGGGAGCGAACAGG
rnacentral:rRNA from 1 species